GGUUAAUGAGGCGAACCGGGGGAACUGAAACAUCUAAGUACCCCGAGGAAAAGAAAUCAACCGAGAUUCCCCCAGUAGCGGCGAGCGAACGGGGAGGAGCCCAGAGCCUGAAUCAGUGUGUGUGUUAGUGGAAGCGUCUGGAAAGGCGUGCGAUACAGGGUGACAGCCCCGUACACAAAAAUGCACAUAUUGUGAGCUCGAUGAGUAGGGCGGGACACGUGGUAUCCUGUCUGAAUAUGGGGGGACCAUCCUCCAAGGCUAAAUACUCCUGACUGACCGAUAGUGAACCAGUACCGUGAGGGAAAGGCGAAAAGAACCCCGGCGAGGGGAGUGAAAAAGAACCUGAAACCGUGUACGUACAAGCAGUGGGAGCCUCUUAAUGGGGUGACUGCGUACCUUUUGUAUAAUGGGUCAGCGACUUAUAUUCUGUAGCAAGGUUAACCGAAUAGGGGAGCCGAAGGGAAACCGAGUCUUAACUGGGCGUUAAGUUGCAGGGUAUAGACCCGAAACCCGGUGAUCUAGCCAUGGGCAGGUUGAAGGUUGGGUAACACUAACUGGAGGACCGAACCGACUAAUGUUGAAAAAUUAGCGGAUGACUUGUGGCUGGGGGUGAAAGGCCAAUCAAACCGGGAGAUAGCUGGUUCUCCCCGAAAGCUAUUUAGGUAGCGCCUCGUGAAUUCAUCUCCGGGGGUAGAGCACUGUUUCGGCAAGGGGGUCAUCCCGACUUACCAACCCGAUGCAAACUGCGAAUACCGGAGAAUGUUAUCACGGGAGACACACGGCGGGUGCUAACGUCCGUCGUGAAGAGGGAAACAACCCAGACCGCCAGCUAAGGUCCCAAAGUCAUGGUUAAGUGGGAAACGAUGUGGGAAGGCCCAGACAGCCAGGAUGUUGGCUUAGAAGCAGCCAUCAUUUAAAGAAAGCGUAAUAGCUCACUGGUCGAGUCGGCCUGCGCGGAAGAUGUAACGGGGCUAAACCAUGCACCGAAGCUGCGGCAGCGACACUAUGUGUUGUUGGGUAGGGGAGCGUUCUGUAAGCCUGUGAAGGUGGCCUGUGAGGGUUGCUGGAGGUAUCAGAAGUGCGAAUGCUGACAUAAGUAACGAUAAAGCGGGUGAAAAGCCCGCUCGCCGGAAGACCAAGGGUUCCUGUCCAACGUUAAUCGGGGCAGGGUGAGUCGACCCCUAAGGCGAGGCCGAAAGGCGUAGUCGAUGGGAAACAGGUUAAUAUUCCUGUACUUGGUGUUACUGCGAAGGGGGGACGGAGAAGGCUAUGUUGGCCGGGCGACGGUUGUCCCGGUUUAAGCGUGUAGGCUGGUUUUCCAGGCAAAUCCGGAAAACCAAGGCUGAGGCGUGAUGACGAGGCACUACGGUGCUGAAGCGACAAAUGCCCUGCUUCCAGGAAAAGCCUCUAAGCAUCAGGUAACAUCAAAUCGUACCCCAAACCGACACAGGUGGUCAGGUAGAGAAUACCAAGGCGCUUGAGAGAACUCGGGUGAAGGAACUAGGCAAAAUGGUGCCGUAACUUCGGGAGAAGGCACGCUGAUAUGUAGGUGAAGCGACUUGCUCGUGGAGCUGAAAUCAGUCGAAGAUACCAGCUGGCUGCAACUGUUUAUUAAAAACACAGCACUGUGCAAACACGAAAGUGGACGUAU
rnacentral:rRNA from 1 species